ACUAUGGUGAGAAAAUUUUACAUUUCUGCUGUGCCAAUUCGUAACUUUUUACUGCUGGAAAUUUUUGACAGUUGCUUUGAUGCACAAGAAGACUAUCGAGUUUGCAAUUUAUAAAAUGCAGCAAUUAUAUAGAAAAUAUUUGCCUUUGAUGAUUUCAAUUCUUCUGGAACUGAAAUCCAUGCAUUUAUUAGACCUUUUAGCAGUAAUAUUAGAAAUAAAAACACGUCAAAACCGUCUGGGUAUUAUGUACAUGCAAGAAGACGUUUAUUCCAAAAUACUAAGCAGCAUUAUGAACGGCGAUAAAAAGACUAUAAAAAUGCAUCUUAGGUUGUCCUCUGCUUCGUUUCGAAAAAUUGUAACUCACAUUCCCAAAAAGCGCCACGGAUGGUCAGUGGAGUACGAAGUCAUUUGCUU